GCAUUGAUGUGAAAGGGUCAGCCCAGCCCCUGCCACUCAGAACUUCAGGCUCAUGCAAUUUGUGCAUUAGCUCCCUUGGCUGUUGGCCCAGGAAUCUGGAGAUUAAAAUAAAAAUCCAAAGGUAAACAGUGCUUCCACAAUUGAUAUGGCUGGCCUCUUCCAAGCGCACUGCCACUGGAACAACAUGGCUUCCUGUGGGGGGGUCCUGCGCUGAGCAGGAGAGAGGGAGGGUGAGGAGACUAAGAACAGAAGGGCACGUAAGCCAGGCCUUGCAUAACCUCUUUAGGAGCAGACACAGCGAGGGGGGAAUGUUUAUUGAUCUUAGUCACACACGUAUUGUAAAGAGGAACUUUGGUACAAGCCUUUUGCACGCUAUGGGAAUCUGGGGAAGUCACAGCAUUGCAAACAGUGCCUGGCUGCUUCCACGCACAGGCUUGUUAACAGUAACCUAGUGAAACCAUAGACUAGAGGAAAGGACACCGGUUCACCAGACAGACAGAAAUAAACUAGACUGAUUAAGCAGAUAACUAUUAAGUAGCUAUUUUAAAAUGGUCACUGUUUUAUGUAACAAUGGAGCCGGAGAAGAAGGCUGACGUUUUACGCGUCCCCAACCGAUUGUGUUUUUUUGUUCGUUUAUAACUUAUUUUUAAACUUAUUUUGUACAUAAUGUUGCCGCUACAGUCUCUUGUGACCGAAAAGAAUUUCUGGACAUCAGGACUGCGAUUACUCACCAGAAUCCUUUUUUCCCUUUAAGGAGUCUGAGGAGCCCGACGCGAAUGAUUUUCUGCUUUCUCGGGAACAAGCCCAGAUACCCGUGAUUUGUGUGAAGAGGUGGCUGAGACAAAGUGGCCAGAGGGCGGGCUGCCUCCUGAGAAUUCGUAGGCGAUCGAAUAAACCCCCACUUCCUUCCAUUCUGUUAGCAAACAUGCAAUCUUUGUAGAAUAAAAUCGAAGAACAAAGCGGAAGAUUAAACUACCAACGGGACAUUUAAAACUGUAAUAUCUUAUGCUCAACGGAGUCGUGGCUGAACGACGAUACAUUCAACAUACAGCUGGCUGGUUAUAAACUCUACCGGCAGGACAAAACAGCGUCAUCUGGGCCUUUGGGGAGGAGGUCAGAGACCUGGCCGUGUGGUGCCAAGACAAAAGGAGAUGAUUGUGGACUAAAGGAAAAAGAGGACCGAGCAUGCCCCCAUUCUCAUCGACGGGGCUGCAGUGGAGCAGGUUGAGAGCUUCAAGUUCCUUGGCGUCCACAUCCCCAACAAACAUACAUGGUCCAAGCACACCAAGACAGUCGUAAAGAGGGCACGACAAAACCUAUUCCCCUCAAGCGACUAAAAAGAUUUGGCAUGGGUCCUCAGAUCCUCAAAAGAUUCUACAGCGGCACCAUCGAGAGCAUCCUGAUGGGUCGCAUCACUGCCUGGUAUGGCAACUGCUCGGCAUCCGACCGCAAGGUAUUACAGAGGGUAGCGUGAACGACCUAGUACAUCACUGGGGCCAAGCUUCCUGCCACCCCAAACCUCUACACCAGGCGGUGUCAAAGGAAGGCACUAAAAAGACUCCAGCCACCCUAGUCAUAAACUAUUCUCUCUGCUACCGCACGGCAAGCGGUACCGGAGAGCCAAGUCUAGGUCUAAGAGGCUUCUCAACAGCUUCUACCCCCAAGCCAUAAGACUCCUAAACAUCUAACCAAAUGGCAACCCAGAUUAUUUGCAUUGCCCCCCUCCCCGACACACACACCGUUGCUACUCUCUGUUAUCAUCUAUGCAUAGUCACUUUAAUAACCCUACCUACAUGUACAUAUUACCUCAACUAAACGGUGCCCCCGCGCAUUGACUCUGUACCGGUAUAUGUACUCUGUAUAUGGUCUCGCUAUUGUUAUUUUACUGCUGCUCUUUAAUUACUUGUUACUUUAUUUCUUAUCCAUAUUUUUUUAAACUGCAUUGUUGGUUAAGGGCUCGUAAGUAAUCAUUUCACUGUAAGGUCUACCUACACCUGUUGUUUUCGGCGCAUGUGACUAAUAAAAUUUGAUUUGAUUAUG